UACGUAGGGGGCAAGCGUUGUCCGGAAUCAUUGGGCGUAAAGAGCGUGUAGGCGGUUCGGUAAGUCGGCUGUGAAAGUCCAGGGCUCAACCCUGGGAUGCCGGUCGAUACUGCCGGACUAGAGUUCGGAAGAGGUGAGUGGAAUUCCCGGUGUAGCGGUGAAAUGCGCAGAUAUCGGGAGGAACACCUAUGGCGAAGGCAGCUCGCUGGGACGUUACUGACGCUGAGACGCGAAAGCGUGGGAAGCAAACAGG
rnacentral:rRNA from 1 species